GCACGGGUGGUGAUAACUUGAACAGAUUCACAACACAUCGGACAGCAUGUCCGUCUGGAUUUGACUUGAGUACGUGACCCAAACACGUGAGUAGGUAAAAUAAUAAUAUAACGGUGUGGUGUCUGACAUUGGAAGUGUGCUUAAGGUUAAGGCGUUUAUUGUUGAUGUUUAUAAUGUGAUGUUUUGGGCAAAACCCGUUAGUGGGUUUGUUUUAGGUAAAACCGUAAAGAGUACUUUUCGUAGACAAAUGACAAUGACAAGAUAAUGGUAGCUAAUUAGGUAUUCGAUAAUUUAUGCUAAUGGGUUUAUCCUUAUUGCUGAUUGUUGGAUUUUCCUGACAUGAUAUGCUAGUAUGCUACACCUCCCCCCUUUAGGAGAAUGGUGUAACCAUUCGAAAAGAAUAAAAAAAUAUAUAUAAUUUCAA